rnacentral:tRNA from 1 species
GGGGUUAUAGUGUAACCUGGCAUCAUCUGGGACUCCAGUUGUCUUUGAAGAACGCGCGCAUGCUGAGGCAUACCGAUGAUGAUCGAUUGGAGUGCUGAGACAAGAGAAAUCCUAGGAUCGGGGUUCAAAUCCCUGUGACCCCA